AGGACGAACGCUAGCGGCAGGCUUAACACAUGCAAGUCGAGGGGCAGCAUGAGGGUUAGCAAUAACCCUUGAUGGCGACCGGCGCAAGGGUGCGUAACGCGUGAGCAACUUGCCCUUAUCAGGGGGAUAACCGGUGGAAACGCCGACUAAUACCCCAUAGUAUCACUUCAAGGCAUCUUUUAGUGAUUAAAGAAAUUCGGAUAAGGAUAGGCUCGCGUGACAUUAGCUAGAUGGCGGGGUAACGGCCCACCAUGGCGACGAUGUCUAGGGGUUCUGAGAGGAAGGUCCCCCACACUGGAACUGAGACACGGUCCAGACUCCUACGGGAGGCAGCAGUGAGGAAUAUUGGUCAAUGGCCGAGAGGCUGAACCAGCCAUGCCGCGUGAAGGUCACGGCCCUAUGGGUCUUAAACUUCUUUUGUAAGGGAGCAAUAAGGUUCACGUGUGGACUGAUGAGAGUACCUUACGAAUAAGCAUCGGCUAACUCCGUG
rnacentral:rRNA from 1 species